UACGUAGGGUGCAAGCGUUGUCCGGAAUUAUUGGGCGUAAAGAGCUCGUAGGCGGUUUGUCGCGUCUGCUGUGAAAACUCAGGGCUUAACCCUGAGCCUGCAGUGGGUACGGGCAGACUAGAGUGUGGUAGGGGAGAUCGGAAUUCCUGGUGUAGCGGUGGAAUGCGCAGAUAUCAGGAGGAACACCGGUGGCGAAGGCGGAUCUCUGGGCAGUAACUGACGCUGAGGAGCGAAAGCGUGGGGAGCGAACAGG
rnacentral:rRNA from 1 species